AAUCAACGCUGGCGGCGUGCCUAACACAUGCAAGUCGAGCGAGAAAAGGGGGGGCAACUCCCUGAGUACAGCGGCGCACGGGUGAGUAACACGUGGGUAAUCUGCCCUGAAGUGGGGAAUAACACCGGGAAACCGGUGCUAAUACCGCAUAUGAUCACGAUGUCUGCGGACGUAGUGAUGAAAGGAGCAAUUCGCUUCAGGAGGAGCCCGCGGCUGAUUAGCUAGUUGGUGAGGUAAUGGCUCACCAAGGCAACGAUCAGUAUCCGGUCUGAGAGGACGGUCGGACACACGGGAACUGAGACACGGUCCAGACUCCUACGGGAGGCAGCAGUGGGGAAUUUUUCGCAAUGGGGGAAACCCUGACGAAGCAACGCCGCGUGGGUGAUGAAGUCUCUUGGGACGUAAAACCCUUUCGACAGGGAAGAAACCGCAAGGUUGACGGUACCUGUAGAAGAAGCCCCGGCUAACUCCGUGCCAACAGCCGCCGCCG
rnacentral:rRNA from 1 species